rnacentral:lncRNA from 1 species
AAACUAUGCAUACAAAGAAUCAAUGAAUAAUUUAAUUGGGGAAUGAUGCAAGGAUCAAAUAAAAUCAAUAUGAAAAGCCUCUAAUAUGUGGCAUAUGAGAUGGACAAGGGAGGAUCAAAAGAUCUCUUCAAUUGCCUUAAGCAAUCCCUAAGUCAAACAUCAAUCAUAGAAAAGUCAACCGAAAAGUCAAGUCAACUUAAAAAAUAUCAAAUAAAUAGUAAAUCAAUUCAAUAAAUUAUGAAAAAAUAAAUUAAAUGUGGUGGGAUCAGGA